rnacentral:rRNA from 1 species
GGGGGAUAUUGCACAAUGGAGGAAACUCUGAUGCAGCAACGCCGCGUGAGGGAAGAAGGUCUUCGGAUUGUAAACCUUUGUCCUUGGUGACGAUAAUGACGGUAGCCAAGGAGGAAGCUCCGGCUAACUACGUGCCAGCAGCCGCGGUAAUACGUAGGGAGCGAGCGUUGUCCGGAUUUACUGGGUGUAAAGGGUGCGUAGGCGGCUCUGCAAGUCAGGUGUGAAAACCAUCGGCUUAACUGAUGGACUGCAUUUGAAACUGUGGAGCUUGAGUGAAGCAGAGGCAGGCGGAAUUCCCGGUGUAGCGGUGAAAUGCGUAGAGAUCGGGAGGAACACCGGUGGCGAAGGCGGCCUGCUGGGCUUUAACUGACGCUGAGGCACGAAAGCAUGGGUAGCAAAC